rnacentral:rRNA from 1 species
AUGAACGCUGGCGGUAUGCUUAACACAUGCAAGUCGAACGGAAUGCUUAGGCAUUUAGUGGCGGACGGGUGAGUAACGCGUGAGAAUUUGGCUUCAGGUCGGGGACAACAGUUGGAAACGACUGCUAAUACCGGAUAUGCCGGAAGGUGAAAGAUUUAUUGCCUGAAGAUAAGCUCGCGUCUGAUUAGCUAGUAGGAGGGGUAAAAGCCCACCUAGGCGACGAUCAGUAGCUGGUCUGAGAGGAUGAUCAGCCACACUGGGACUGAGACACGGCCCAGACUCCUACGGGAGGCAGCAGUGGGGAAUUUUCCGCAAUGGGCGAAAGCCUGACGGAGCAAUACCGCGUGAGGGAGGAAGGCUCUUGGGUCGUAAACCUCUUUUCUCAAGGAAGAAGAAAGUGACGGUACUUGAGGAAUAAGCAUCGGCUAACUCCGUGCCAGCAGCCGCGGUAAUACGGAGGAUGCAAGCGUUAUCCGGAAUGAUUGGGCGUAAAGGGUCUGUAGGUGGUACUGAAAGUCUGCUGUUAAAGAAUCACGCUCAACGUGAUCAAAGCAGUGGAAACUACAGAACUAGAGUGCGGUAGGGGCAAAAGGAAUUCCUGGUGUAGCGGUGAAAUGCGUAGAUAUCAGGAAGAACACCGGUGGCGAAAGCGUUUUGCUAGACCGCAACUGACACUGAGGGACGAAAGCUAGGGGAGCGAAUGGGAUUAGAUACCCCAGUAGUCCUAGCCGUAAACGAUGGAUACUAGGCGUGGCUUGUAUCGACCCGAGCCGUGCCGGAGCUAACGCGUUAAGUAUCCCGCCUGGGGAGUACGCACGCAAGUGUGAAACUCAAAGGAAUUGACGGGGGCCCGCACAAGCGGUGGAGUAUGUGGUUUAAUUCGAUGCAACGCGAAGAACCUUACCAAGACUUGACAUCCUGCGAAUCCUGGUGAAAGCUGGGAGUGCCUUAGGGAGCGCAGAGACAGGUGGUGCAUGGCUGUCGUCAGCUCGUGUCGUGAGAUGUUGGGUUAAGUCCCGCAACGAGCGCAACCCUCGUUUUUAGUUGCCAGCAUUAAGAUGGGCACUCUAGAGAGACUGCCGGUGACAAACCGGAGGAAGGUGAGGAUGACGUCAAGUCAGCAUGCCCCUUACGUCUUGGGCUACACACGUACUACAAUGCUACGGACAAAGGGCAGCUACACGGCGAUGUGAUGCAAAUCUCAGAAACCGUAGCUCAGUUCAGAUCGAAGGCUGCAACUCGCCUUCGUGAAGGAGGAAUCGCUAGUAAUUGCAGGUCAGCAUACUGCAGUGAAUUCGUUCCCGGGCCUUGUACACACCGCCCGUCACACCAUGGAAGUUGGUCACGCCCGAAGUCAUUACCCCAACCGAAAGGAGGGGGAUGCCUAAGGUAGGACUGGUGACUGGGGUGAAGUCGUAACAAGGUAGCCGUACCGGAAGGUGUGGCUGGAUCACCU